UACGUAGGGGGCUAGCGUUGUCCGGAAUCAUUGGGCGUAAAGAGCGUGUAGGCGGUCCGGUAAAUCCGCUGUGAAAGUCGGGGGCCCAACCCUCGAAUGCCGGUGGAUACUGUCGGGCUAGAGUGCGGAAGAGGCGAGUGGAAUUCCUGGUGUAGCGGUGAAAUGCGUAGAUAUCGGAAGGAACACCAGUGGCGAAAGCGGCUCCCUGGUCCAGCACCGACGUUCAGGCACGAAAGCGUGGGGAGCAAACAGG
rnacentral:rRNA from 1 species